CUUGGAGAGGGUUGAUUCGGCCCACAAUUGGGAACUGGAGACCCCGGCCCCAGAAUUCCUUACGGGGAGGCAAGCAGUUGGGGAAUUUUUCGGCAAAUGGACGAAAAGUCCUGAAUGAAGCAACUGCCGGCUUGAUGGAUGAAAGGUUUUUCGGAUUCGUAAAACUCCUGUUGUUUAGGGAAGAACGAGGUACUAAGAGUAAUCUGCUUGUACCUUUGACGGUACCUAACCAGAAAAGCCACGGGCUAAAUUACGUGCCCAGCAGCCGGCGGUAAUACGUAGGUGGCCAAGCGUUGUCUCGGAAUUAUUGGGCGUAAAGCGCGCGCAGGGCGGUCCUUUUAAGUCUGAUGUGAAAGCCCACGGGCUCAACCGUGGAGGGUCAUUGGAAACUGGGGGACUUGAGUGCAGAAGAGAAGAGUGGAAUUCCACGUGUAGCGGUGAAAUGCGUAGAGAUGUGGAGGAACACCAGUGGCGAAGGCGACUCUCUGGUCUGUAACUGACGAUGAGGCGCGAAAGCGUGGGGAGCAAACAGGAUUAGAUACCCUGGUAGUUCACGCCGUAAACGAUGAGUGCUAAGUGUUAGAGGGUUUCCGCCUUUUAGUGGUGCAGCAAACGCAUUAAGCACUCCGCCUGGGGAGUACGGCCGCAAGGCUGAAACUCAAAGGAAUUGACGGGGGCCCGCACAAGCGGUGGAGCAUGUGGUUUAAUUCGAAGCAACGCGAAGAACCUUACCAGGUCUUGACAUCCUCUGACACUCCUAGAGAUAGGACGUUCCCCUUCGGGGGUCAGAGUCACAGGUGGUGCAUGGUUGUCGUCAGCUCGUGUCGUGAGAUGUUGGGUUAAGUCCCGCAACGAGCGCACCCCUUCAUUUUAGUUCCCAGCAUUCAGUUGGGCACUCUAAGGUGACUGCCGGUGACAAACCGGAGGAAGGUGGGGAUGACGUCAAAUCAUCAUGCCCCUUAUGACCUGGGCUACACACGUGCUACAAUGGAUGGUACAAAGGGCAGCCAAGCCGCGAGGUCGAGCAAAUCCCAUAAAACCAUUCUCAGU
rnacentral:rRNA from 2 species